UACGGGGGGGGCAAGCGUUGUUCGGAAUUACUGGGCGUAAAGGGCUUGUAGGUGGCCAACUAAGUCAGACGUGAAAUCCCUCGGCUUAACCGGGGAACUGCGUCUGAUACUGGAUGGCUGGAGUGUGGGAGAGGGAUGCGGAAUUCCAGGUGUAGCGGUGAAAUGCGCAGAUAUCAGGAGGAACACCAAUGGCGAAGGCAGCUCGCUGGGACGUGACUGACGCUGAGACGCGAAAGCGUGGGGAGCAAACAGG
rnacentral:rRNA from 1 species